GGCCCCGCAGACGCGGAAAGGCCGGUAAUCUGGUGGUGCCAGCUACCUUCGCUGCAGAAUUAGCUUCUGCAGGGUCCCCCAGCUGCUUCCGGACGCUGUGGAGCAGCUAUAUAUGUCUGAGUUGGGGUAUGCCCAUGUGAGUUCAGGGGUCUUCAGAAGCCAGGAGUCAGUUCCCUUGAAGCUGGAGCUACAGGCAGAAGUCCAAGUGUCGCAGUGUGGAGUUGAGGUCAAAGGACAACGGGUGGGAGCCAGAUCUUUCCUUCCACCAGGAAGAAGAUGGGGCUCCAUCUGGUUCAUAUGACGCCAUUCAGCUGAGCACCGCUUAAAGUUCGGCUUUGGACUACAACCUGCUCAGAACAUUUCAAGGUGGCUAGCUGAGAUGUUCAGCUUCACAGACUCCUCUAUCAAGGACCUGAGACAAGCUCUGUACUUUCCCAUAAUGCAUAGACUGAAUGAUACAGCUUCUUCUUCCAGGACUUAAUAAUUAACCCAAAUUUUCCUUUCAGAAUUCCCUAAAGAUCCCAUCAUCCCCCAGACUGCAGGAAGUAAAUAAAGCAUUACACAGUCUA